rnacentral:rRNA from 1 species
CUGGCUCAGGACGAACGCUGGCGGCAUGCCUAACACAUGCAAGUCGAACGGGGGUAGCAAUACCCUAGUGGCGAACGGGUGAGUAACACAUAAGCAAUCUGCCCUUCACAGGGGGAUAACAGCGGGAAACUGCUGCUAAUACCGCAUAAGACCACGGUACCGCAUGGUACAGGGGUAAAAACGAAUCAGUGGUGAAGGAUGAGCUUAUGUCCCAUUAGCUAGUUGGUGAGAUAACAGCCCACCAAGGCGACGAUGGGUAGCCGACCUGAGAGGGUGAUCGGCCACACUGGAACUGAGACACGGUCCAGACUCCUACGGGAGGCAGCAGUGGGGAAUAUUGGGCAAUGGAGGAAAAACCUCUUACCCAGCAAUGCCGCGUGAGUGAAGAGGGUCUUCGGAUUGUAAAGCUCUUUGAUUGGGGACGAAGAAAGUGACGGUACCCAAAGAACAAGCCCCGGCUAACUACGUGCCAGCAGCGGC